rnacentral:rRNA from 1 species
GUAUAUGCUUACAACAUAGCGUUAAUGCACUAGAUCCCAUUAGAACUUCGCAGUUAAGCGUGCUCGGGAUAGAGUAGUACUGGGCUGCGUGACUGGCCAGGAAUUCCUAGUGGUUUACAUG